UACGUAGGGACCAAGCGUUGUUCGGAUUUACUGGGCGUAAAGGGCGCGUAGGCGGCGCUGUAAGUCACUUAUGAAAUCUCCGGGCUUAACUCGGAACGGUCAAGUGAUACUGCAGUGCUAGAGUGCGGAAGGGGCAAUCGGAAUUCUUGGUGUAGCGGUGAAAUGCGUAGAUAUCAAGAGGAACACCUGAGGUGAAGACGGGUUGCUGGGCCGACACUGACGCUGACAGCGCGAAAGCCAGGGGAGCAAACGGG
rnacentral:rRNA from 1 species